UUAUUUUGGCAGAAUAGUGCGAUUGAUUUAGAAUCAUUAUAAGUAAUUUAAUUACAGAUAACAC
rnacentral:tRNA from 1 species